rnacentral:rRNA from 1 species
CGCGUGGAUAACCUGCCUGAUAGCCCGGGAUAACAGCUGGAAACGGCUGCUAAUACCGGAUACGCUGAGCAGAACGCAUGUUCUACUUAGGAAAGAUUUAUCACUAUCAGAUGGAUCCGCGUCCCAUUAGCUAGUUGGUGGUGUAAUGGACCACCAAGGCGACGAUGGGUAGCCGGCCUGAGAGGGCGAACGGCCACACUGGGACUGAGACACGGCCCAGACUCCUACGGGAGG